CAGGUUGAAGCGAGGGUAAAACCUCGUGGAGGACCGAACCACGUUGCUGUUGAAAAAGCAUGGGAUGAGCUGUGGAUAGCGGAGAAAUUCCAAUCGAACUCGGAUAUAGCUGGUUCUCCUCGAAAUAGCUUUAGGGCUAGCGUCGUGAAAUGUGAGUACUGGAGGUAGAGCACUGAAUAGGCUAGGGGGCAUAGCGCUUACCGAACCUUAUCAAACUCCGAAUGCCAGAUACUAUCAGCACGGCAGUCAGACUAUGAAAGAUAAGUUCCAUGGUCAAAAGGGAAACAGCCCAGAUCGUCAGCUAAGGUCCCAAAGUGUAAGUUAAGUGGAAAAGGAUGUGGGAUUUCUAAGACAACUAGGAUGUUGGCUUAGAAGCAGCCACUCAUUAAAAGAGUGCGUAAUAGCUCACUAGUCAAGAGAUCCUGCGCCGAAAAUGUCCGGGGCUCAAACUUACCACCGAAGCUACGGGUUCAUACUUUGUAUGAGCGGUAGAGGAGCGUCGUAAUCGGGCUGAAGUCGUACCGUAAGGAGCGGUGGACUGAUUACGAGUGAGAAUGUUGGCAUUAGUAGCGAGAUGUAGGUGAGAAUCCUACAGGCCGAAUAUCUAAGGUUUCCUGAGUAAAGUUUGUCUUCUCAGGGUUAGUCGGGACCUAAGGCGAGGCCGAGAGGCGUAGUCGAUGGACAAUUGGUUGAUAUUCCAAUACCACUAUAAUCGUUAUUAUCGAUGGUGUGACGGAGAAGGAUAGGAUGUGCCAGCUAUUGGAUGCUGGUCUAAGCGUUGAGGGAGUUAGAACAGGCAAAUCCGUUCUAACAAUCCUAGGGCGUGAUGGGGAAGGUUCCACGGAACCGAAGUAUCUGAUUUCAUGCUUCCAAGAAAAGCAUCUAGAAAGAGAAGUAGUGCCCGUACCGCAAACCGACACAGGUAGAUGAGGAGAGAAUCCUAAGGCCGACGGAAGAAUCACAGUUAAGGAACUAGGCAAAUUGACCCCGUAACUUCGGGAGAAGGGGUGCCUACCAUCUGGUAGGCCGCAGAGAAUAGGCACAAGCAACUGUUUAACAAAAACACAGGUCUCUGCUAAAGCGUAAGCUGAUGUAUAGGGGCUGACGCCUGCCCGGUGCUGGAAGGUUAAGGGGAACACUUAGCGCAAGCGAAGGU
rnacentral:rRNA from 1 species